rnacentral:rRNA from 1 species
GACGAACGCUGGCGGCGUGCUUAACACAUGCAAGUCGAACGGAAAGGCCCUGCUUUUGUGGGGUGCUCGAGUGGCGAACGGGUGAGUAACACGUGAGUAACCUGCCCUUGACUUUGGGAUAACUUCAGGAAACUGGGGCUAAUACCGGAUAGGAGCUCCUGCUGCAUGGUGGGGGUUGGAAAGUUUCGGCGGUUGGGGAUGGACUCGCGGCUUAUCAGCUUGUUGGUGGGGUAGUGGCUUACCAAGGCUUUGACGGGUAGCCGGCCUGAGAGGGUGACCGGCCACAUUGGGACUGAGAUACGGCCCAGACUCCUACGGGAGGCAGCAGUGGGGAAUAUGGCACAAUGGGCGGAAGCCUGAUGCAGCAACGCCGCGUGCGGGAGGACGGCCUUCGGGUGGUAAACCGCUUUCGCCUGUGACAAAGCGUGAGUGACGGUAAUGGGGAAAGAAGCACCGGCGAACUACGU